rnacentral:rRNA from 1 species
GACGUAGGGCGCGAGCGUUGUCCGGAUUUAUUGGGCGUAAAGAGCUCGUAGGCGGCUUGUCGCGUCGACUGUGAAAUCCCGCGGCUCAACCGCGGGUCUGCAGUCGAUACGGGCAGGCUAGAGUUCGGUAGGGGAGACUGGAAUUCCUGGUGUAGCGGUGAAAUGCGCAGAUAUCAGGAGGAACACCGAUGGCGAAGGCAGGUCUCUGGGCCGAUACUGACGCUGAGGAGCGAAAGCAUGGGGAGCGAACAGG